GAUGAACGCUAGCGGCAGGCCUAACACAUGCAAGUCGAGGGGUAGAGUUCUUCGGGACUUGGGACCGGCGCACGGGUGCGUAACGCGUAUGCAAUCUACCUUAUACAGGGGAAUAGCCCAGAGAAAUUUGGAUUAAUGCCCCAUAGUGUUAUCGAAUCGCAUGGUUUGAUAACUAAAGUUCCAACGGUAUAAGAUGGGCAUGCGUCCUAUUAGCUAGAUGGUAAGGUAACGGCUUACCAUGGCUACGAUAGGUAGGGGUCCUGAGAGGGAGAUCCCCCACACUGGUACUGAGACACGGACCAGACUCCUACGGGAGGCAGCAGUGAGGAAUAUUGGACAAUGGGCGCAAGCCUGAUCCAGCCAUGCCGCGUGAGUGAUGAAGGCCUU
rnacentral:rRNA from 1 species